GAUGUUCGUAAAUUUAGUUGUUUUAGCAAAUUGGCAUAUAUCACAAAACAAAUCUUGAUGUUAACUAAAAAUAUUAUAUUUCUGUGCUAUCUUUGUCUUCAAAUUUGUCUCAGCAGAGAGAGUAUUUGUGAUGAAAAUAGUCUUCCAUUUUCCAGCUGAUUAAGUAGACAAGCUUCAGAACCUAAUUUAGAUAGAUGACAAGUUUUAGAAACAUUUGUGUUGAAGACUUUCCACAGGAUAUGUUGCUGACACUUGAGGAAUUGAUAUAUUAUUAAGUUGCAGUAACGUAGAAGCUGAAAGGAAACCUCUACUUGAUGCUAGAUUCUAGAAAAAGCCAUUGGGCAUCUUCUUAUCUUCUUUUCUUGUUGUCAUUUUUAGAUACAUCAAACUUUAGCCAGUUAGACAUUCUGGGGGCAGCAUCUUCUUCAUUUAAUUCAAGGCCAUAACUUUAGAGAAUUUUGUACAGACCACAAAUCUUGCUUUCAGAUCAGUUCUAUUCUGUGAGGAUGACAGACGAAGGCACUUCUCUUUUCUAGAGAAACCCAAGUGUUUAACAGAAUCAGAAUGCUACUAGUGCAGUGUGCCAUCUAAAACUCUGUUGUCGAACCAGCUUCUGUUAGAAGUACUACUCCAUAAAGCGAACUUUCUUCUACCCAGUUUCUUUAAAGUGAUGUUAAUGCAAAUCAGCUAGAACUUCCUUUGGAUUAGUCCAAACAAUUGUUAUAAGCACCUAAUUGUAUCGGUCAAGUAUAUUGAAGGAAAACUGUAACAUUUUAUUAUUUAUGCAAUAAGUAAGGUUGUGACAGGAACCAAUAAAGCUAUAAAGAUUUGUAAGCAACUCCAAAUAGGGAAUGAUGCUAAUCUUGUUUCUGUUUUAUAUAUGGUUUGAACAGAAGAGAAAAAUGGUUAGAUUCUUCAAUGAAUACAAUAUUCUUAUUCUUAAGGUUUUAUUCUUGCAGAAAGCUUUCCUGCAUGGUUAUUGUUGUAUAUCAUAUUGUUUUCUGGUAACAGCAAGGAUGGACAGUUCACCAACAGAUGAGCAGAUGGGCACUUUUGUUGUUUAUAUACAAUUCAUAAUGGUCUGGCAGGCAUUACAACUUACAAGCAUCCUGAAAGUUGACACACGCACAUCAGGAUUUCAGUAAAAUUCAGGAGUUGGUAAUCAACAUCCAUUUCUUAUUCUGCAUAUUUGUUAUGGCAAUAAAACUGUUUUGCUCAAUCAAUUUUAAGCAUAACUUUCCAUGACUAAUGCAGUGAAAUGAAGAUGGAUUUUCAUUGAUGAAAAUGGUAUCUGAUAAUCAUGGAUGAAUUAGGCCAUGGGGAGAAACAAUGAAGCUAUUGCAUGCAGAACUAUAUUCAAUUACAAUGGCUAUGGCAAUUUAUGUCCUUUCCUUGUCUUGGUGGAUCAUCAAGGGAAUGAACAAAAAUAAGCCAUAGCCGGUCAUCCAUGGCUAUUCAAGACGUCCAUUGGAACAACACAUGAUCUGAAGACAUCAACCGGCUCUUGAAUGAUCGGUUCAAAUUCUUAUCAUCUCAAUCAGGCAUCGUGAAUGAUUAAAAUUCAUAUCUUGGAGAUGCUUUUCUGACAAAAACGAAGGCCAACUGGUUUGAUUUCUUUUAGCAUGAAGAGCAGCCAAGCUUCUAUAUCUUCAGCAAGUAUGCAAUUACACCUCCAAAGAUGCUAAAGGUUCGAGGGGCAAUUGGACACAAAAGUCUACUGGAGUCUGGGCACGAGGUAUGGCAUAUAUGCUACUGAAGCAAGACAGGAUGCAACGUGAAAUUCUGGAGAAGCAGAGGAAAACAACAAACAACAGAGGGGGAAAACAAUAGCUAGGAAAGAGAAAAAGAAUAAUGGAGUGAGAGAGGAGCAGAGGACUCAUGAAGUACUUGCAAGCAAACUCAAUCAACCAACCCCCUUCACUUCUGAAAGCUAAAAAACAUACUGAAGAUGGACACUCGCCCCUUCACAGAGAACAGAAUUUUUCAGAUCAAGUCUUAUCUCUUUUAUGUCACAAAUCUCACAUAGGUGAUGAAGGCAAAGUUAUCUCAACAAUCCAUUUUGUCAUUAUAGAGGCAUG